rnacentral:rRNA from 1 species
GACGAACGCUGGCGGCGUGCCUAAUACAUGCAAGUAGGACGCAGUUGCGAACGGGUGAGUAACGCGUCGGUAACUGCCUAUUAGAGGGGGAUAACUAUUGGAAACGAUAGCUAAUACCGCAUACUAGUAGAUGGACCUGCGUUGUAUUAGCUAGUAGGUAGGGUAAUGGCCUACCUAGGCGCCGAUACAUAGCCGACCUGGAGAGGUGAUCGGCCAAACUGGGACUGAGACACGGCCCCGAAUCCGACGGGGGGGAGGAGGAGGGGAACGGCGGCAAUGGGGGGAAACCUGGCCGAGCAACGCCGCGGGAGUGAAGAAGGUUUUCGGAUCGUAAAGCUCUGUUGUUAAGGAAGCGGUACUUAACCAGAAAGGGACGGCUAACUACGUGCCAGCAGCCGCGGUAAUUC